AACGAACGCUGGCGGCAUGCCUAACACAUGCAAGUCGAACGAAGGCUUCGGCCUUAGUGGCGCACGGGUGCGUAACGCGUGGGAAUCUGCCCUUUGGUUCGGAAUAACAGCUGGAAACGGCUGCUAAUACCGGAUGAUGACGAAAGUCCAAAGAUUUAUCGCCAGAGGAUGAGCCCGCGUUGGAUUAGGUAGUUGGUGGGGUAAAGGCCUACCAAGCCGACGAUCCAUAGCUGGUCUGAGAGGAUGAUCAGCCACACUGGGACUGAGACACGGCCCAGACUCCGACGGGAGGCAGCAGUGGGGAAUAUUGGACAAGGGGCGCAAGCCUGAUCCAGCAAUGCCGCGUGAGUGAUGAAGGCCCUAGGGUUGUAAAGCUCUUUUACCCGGGAAGAGAAUGACUGUACCGGGAGAAUAAGCCCCGGCUAACUCCGUG
rnacentral:rRNA from 1 species